GCGGCUCUGCCCCGCCGCUGCCAUCCCCGGCGGAGCGGCGGGCGCGGGGCGGGGAGCGCGGCGGGCGGGAUGCUCGGCGCCCGCAACAGGCGGCGAAAGUUGGGGCCGGGCGGAGCGGGCAGGUGCGCGGCCCCGAGCCCCGCCGCCGACUGCCGCGGCUGGCUGCUUUUGCUCUUUUAGAUCCGCGGCUCGGGGAGAGCGGGAGCGAGAGGCUGGCUUGCGGAGGAGAGGAGGUGCAGCGAGGGAGACCGCCCCACGCCGCGAAUUCGGCCCAGGGUCUCUGCAACGAUUAAUCCGGCACCAUUCCCAGGCAACCUUAUAAUGGAACUAUACUCAUUUGACAUACAUUGAAAUAAGCCCAUUAAUUUCAACUCCUUUGGAGACAGAGGGAAAAAGUAAUGAUUUGUUGCAAAUGGAGAAAAUGGAGAAGUGGAGCCAGCUGGAAAAAUGAAGAGUCACGUUCAGUCUUUUAAAAGCAUUUUUACAA